GGCGACGUGGCCAAGAGGCUAAGGCAAGGGUCUGCAAAACCCUGAUCAUGGGUUCAAAUCCCAUCGUCGCCU
rnacentral:tRNA from 2 species